UACGGAGGAUCCGAGCGUUAUCCGGAUUUAUUGGGUUUAAAGGGUGCGCAGGCGGGAGAUUAAGUCGGCGGUGAAAUUUUGCAGCUCAACUGUAAAAGUGCCUUCGAAACUGGUUUCCUUGAGUGUAGAUGAAGUAGGCGGAAUUUGUGGUGUAGCGGUGAAAUGCAUAGAUAUCACGAGGAACUCCGAUUGCGCAGGCAGCUUACUAAACCAUAACUGACGCUCAUGCACGAAGGCGUGGGGAUCAAACAGGAUUAGAUACCCCUGUA
rnacentral:rRNA from 1 species